AAUGAAAUCUUAUAGCUACGUUCCCACGAGAUUCACGGCCUCCCUGGUUCCAUACUUAUCAGGUGCUGAAUUCGGCUGAAAUACCAUGCUAACACAACCUGCAGCGUUCACACGAGAAUUGAGGC